AUACGAAGGGGGCAAGCGUUGUUCGGAAUAACUGGGCGUAAAGCGCACGUAGGCGGAAUGUUAAGUUAGAGGUGAAAUCCCAGGGCUCAACCCUGGAACUGCCUUUAAUACUGGCAAUCUAAAGACCGAGAGAGGUGAGUGGAAUUCCGAGUGUAGAGGUGAAAUUCGUAGAUAUUCGGAGGAACACCAGUGGCGAAGGCGGCUCACUGGCUCGGUACUGACGCUGAGGUGCGAAAGCGUGGGGAGCAAACAGGAUUAGAAACCCCAGUAGUCC
rnacentral:rRNA from 1 species